rnacentral:rRNA from 1 species
UACAGAGGGUGCAAGCGUUGCUCGGAUUUACUGGGCGUAAAGCGUACGCAGACGGACCGUCAAGUCAGGAGUGAAAGCCCUGGGCUCAACCCAGGAACGGCUUUUGAUACUAGCGGUCUUGAGUUUGGGAGAGGGAAGCGGAAUCCUGGUGUAGAGGUGAAAUCCGUAGAUAUCAGGAGGAACACCGGUGGCGAAGGCGGGUCUCGGGCCGAA